rnacentral:lncRNA from 1 species
UUCCUAAUCUCCAUCAUUUAACGCAAGCCCCAUUGCAAGCCUUCAUCCUCUGUCUUCGGCCUUGUUCCUAAUAUCCAUCAUUUAUCUCCACCUCCUUUCGUAGCUUUGGUCGUCUUUCUUUGGCGUCAUUCCUACUCUCCAUCAUUUAUGUCCUAUCCCAUUCUUAGCCCUUGUCUUUUGUUUUUGGCCUCAUUCCUAUUAUCCAUCAUUUAUCUCAAGCACCAUUCUUAGCCUUCGUCCUUUGUCUUUAGCCUCGUUUCUACUCUCCAUCAUUUAUCUCCAGCCCCAUUUUAAGCCCUCAUCCUCUAUCUUCCGCCUCGUUCAUAUUAUCUAUCAUUUAUCUCCACCUCCAUUCUUAGCCCUUGUCCUCUUUCUUUGGCCUCAUUCCUUCUCUCCAUCAUUUAUCUCCAAUCUCAUUUUUAUUCUUGUCCUCUGUCUUUGGCCUUAUUCCUAUCAUCCAUCAUUUAUCUCCAACCCCAUUCUUAGCCUCCGUCCUAUGUCUUUGGCCUGGUUCCUAAUCUCCAUCAUUUAUGUCCAGUCCCAUUCAAAGCCCUCAUCCUCGGUCAUUGGCCUUGAUCAUAUUAUCCAUCAUUUAUCUCUACCUCCUUUCCUAGCCCUCGUCCUUUUUCUUUGGCCACAUUCCUACUUUCCAUCAUGUAUCUCCAAUCCCAUUCUUAGCCCUUGUCCUUUGUAUUUGGCCUCAUUCCUAUUAUCCAUCAUUUAUCUCUAGCCCCAUUCUUAGCCUUUGUCCUUUGUCUUUAGCCUCGUUCCUACUCUCCAUCAAUUAACUCGAAUUCCAUUCUAAGCCUUCAUCCUCUGUCUUCCGCCUCGUUCCUAUUGUCCAUCAUUUAUCUCCACCUCCAUUCUUAGCCUUCGUCCUCUUUCUUUGGCCUCAUUCCUACUCUCCAUCAUUUAUCACCAAUCCCAUUCUUAGCCCAUGUCCUCGGUCUUUGGCCUCAUUCCUAUUAUCCAUCAUUUAUCUCUAGCCCCAUUCUUAGUCUUUGUUCUUUGCCUUUAGCCUUAUUCCUACUCUCCAUCAUUUAUCUUCAGCCCCAUUUUAAGCCCUCAUCCUUUGUCUUCUGCCUCAUUCUUUUUGUCCAUCAUUUAUCUCGACCUCCAUUCUUAGCCCUCAUCCUCUUUUUUUGGUCUCAUUCCUUCUCUCCAUCAUUUAUCUCUAAUCCCAUUCAUAGCCCUUAUCUUUUAUUUUUGGAAUCAUUUCUAUUAUCCAUCAUUUAUCGGCAAUCUCAUUCUUAGCCUUCAUCCUUGGUCUUUAGCCUCGUUCCUACUCUCCAUCAUUUAUCUCCAGUCCCAUUCCAAGUCCUCAUCCAUUCUCUUUGGCCUCGUUCGUAUAGUCCAUCUUUUAUCUCUAACUCGAUUUUUAGUCCUCGUCUUCAUUCUUUGGCCUCAUUCUUACUCUCCAUCAUUUAUCGCCAAUCCCAAGAAUAGUCCUCGUCUUCUAUCUUUGCCCUCAUUCCUAUUAUCCAUCAUUUAUCUCCAGCUCCAUUCUAAGCCUCUGUCCUUUGUCUUUAGCCUCGUUCCUACUCUCCAUCAUUUAUCUCCAGCCUCAUUUUAAGCCGUCAUCCUCUAUCUUCUGCCUCGUUCCUGUUGUCCAUCAUUUAUCUCCACCUCCAUUCUUAGCCCUCGUCCUCUUUCUUUGGCCUCAUUCAUUCUCUCCAUCAUUUAUCUUCAAUCACAUUCUUAGUCCUUAUCCUCGAGGCUUUGGACUCAUUCCUAUUAUCCAUCAAUUCACUACAGCCCCAUUGUUAGUCUUUGUCGUUAGUCCAUAGCCUCGUUCCUACUCUCCAUCAUUUAUCUUGAGUUGCAUUCUAAGCCCUCAUCCUGUGUCUUCCACCUCGUUCUUAUUGUCCAUCAUUUAUCUCCACCUCCAUUCUUAGCCCUCAUCCUCUUUCUUUGGCCUCAUUCUUUCUCUCCAUCAUUUAUCUCCAAUCUCAUUCUUAGCCAUUGUCUUCUAUCUUUGGCCUCAUUCCUAUCAUCUAUCAUUUAUCUCUAGCCCCAUUCUUAGCCUCCGUCCUAUGUCUUUGGCCUCGUUCCUAAUCUCCAUCAUUUAUCUCCGGCCCCAUUCGAAGCCCUCAUCCUCUGUCUUUGGCCUUGUUCCUAUUAUCUAUCAUUUAUCUCCACCUCCUUUCCUAGUCCUCGUCCUCUUUCUUUAGUCUCAUUCCUACUUUCCAUCAUUUAUCUCCAAUCCCAUUCUUAGCCCUUGUCCACUAUCUUUGGCCUCAUUCCUAUUAUCCAUUAUUUAACUCCAGCCCCAUUCUUAGUAUUCGUCCUUUGUCUUUAGCCUCGUUCUACUCUCCAUCAUUUAUCUUCAGUUCCAUUCUAAGCCCUCAUUCUCUGUCUUUCGCCUCGUUCUUAUUAACCAUCAUUUACCUCCACUUCCAUUCUUAGCCCUCAUCCUCUUUCUUUGUCCUCAUUCCUUCUCUCCAUUAUUUAUCUUCAAUCUCAUUCUUAGCCCUUGUCCUCUGUCUUUGACCUCAUUCCUAUCACCCAUCAUUUAUCUCCAACCCCAUUCUUAGCCUCUGGCCUAUGUCUUUGGCCUGGUUCCUAAUCUCCAUCAUUUAUCUCCAGCCCCAUUCCAAGCCCUCAUCCUCUGUCUUUGGCCUUGUUCCUAUUAUCCAUCAUUUAUCUCCACCUCCUUUCCUAGCUCUCGUCCUCUUUCUUUGGUCUCAUUCCUACUCUCCAUCAUUUAUCUCCAAUCCCAUUCUUAGCCCUUGUCCUCUAUCUUUGGCCUCAUUCCUAUUAUCCAUCAUUUAUCUCUAGCCCCGUUCUUAGUCUUUGUCCUUUGUCUUUGGCCUCGUUCCUAAUUUCCAUCAUUUAUGUCUAGUCCCAUUCUUAGCCCUCAUCUUUUGUCUUUGGCCUCAUUUCUAUUGUCUAUCAUUUAUCUCCAACUCCAUUCCUAGCUCUAGUCCUUUGUCUUUGGACUCAUUCCUAUUAUCCAUCAUUUAUCUCCAGCUUCAUUCUUAGCCUUCAUCCUUUGUCUUUAG